UCCAGACUUGCCUUAGGGAAAGAAUUGGU
rnacentral:piRNA from 1 species